GGAAUAUUCCUGCAUUUCAAUGUUUCAUCUUUGAGUUACUUACAAUAUGCUAAUGACAAUAAUGUCAUGGAAGGCUUCAUUAGAUAUUUGAACUUUGAAGUAUUAUUUUGAUUAAAAAUAGCUUCAUGACAUUAAAGUUAUCAUAGGCAAUGUCCACAAAACUUACUAAUUGAGUGGUCAUUGUUGUUCGUUUUAUUAAAAUACCCUUAAUAAUAAUAAUAACUUCAGGAAUAGGUAACUUAUGUUUUAUUAAAUGUCAGAACGAUGUUGGAAUAUGUGGAUACCUGGGUUUGGUUCUGAUGAACUUCGUCCCUACAAGAAAGCAGCAACUACUGAAGCACAUAAACAGAGGAUGGCAUUGAUACGAAAAUCACUCAAGAAAUAACAACAAACUAUCACUUUUGUAAACUCAUUAAGAUUUUUUUGACUGCAGUAGAGAACUGUGUAUUUACUCAUUUUGAAAAAAUCUCACUUCCAAGGCAAGGGUCAGUUACUUAUUUCAAGAUGGGAGAGCCUACGUAGCACUCAGUUGAUGUAAUAUAUUCCUAAAGAUAUAAUACAAAACACAUAAUACAACAGAACGAGAAACAGUGGAAUACAAUACAUUUUAUGAAUACAUUACAUCAACUGCGUGCUACGUAGGUCCCCCCAUUUCAAGAUAGAGAUAGGAACUGUAUUAAUGGAGAGAUUAUUUGUAUAUUUGUUGUGGAUUCCUGAGUUCAGACUAAACUCUAUUAAUGUGAAAUUGGGGAAGAGACCAAAUAAACAAACAAACAAACAAACAAAAAUAAGAUAAAAAGAAAUAAAAUAAAACAGCAACAGAAAAAAGGAAAAAAAAAUAGAAAAAAGAAUUACAUUGGAAUUUGUAAUCAGAGAUGUGUAGUAGCUUUUGAAAUUAUUGCAGGCUCACAUUAGCAUUCUGAAGUUUGCUUAAUAUAUYCACUGAGGUAUUGCUUGGACAUACUACUCAUAAAUAUCUAUUUUGUACACUCACAUUUUCAUGAAUAUUGUGACAUGAUAUUCCGUAGUGGAGAGAAAUAAUUUGAUAUAAUUACAUUACUAAAAUAUAAAGACUAAGUCACAGUUUUGUUUGUUGCAAUCGUUUUGCAUAUGAUAUUUAUUUUAUAUAUUUGCUUGCUCCUCAUACCUGGAACAAGACUGUAAAUAUUGUGAGCCUAUGAUGUACUUUUUGUGCUGUUCAAAUAUUAAACUGUUGUGAUUAUGUAUGUGUAGUUGAUAACAGUUAAUCUGAACUUGUACCCAGUGGUAUUUGCAAUGUGCAGUGCAUUUAGGGAAGGGUGAAGGAAAAUAAAGUUACUAACAUCAA